AUGCAAGUCGAACGGUAACAGGUCUUCGGAUGCUGACGAGUGGCGAACGGGUGAGUAAUACAUCGGAACGUGCCCGAUCGUGGGGGAUAACGGAGCGAAAGCUUUGCUAAUACCGCAUACGAUCUACGGAUGAAAGCAGGGGACCGCAAGGCCUUGCGCGGACGGAGCGGCCGAUGGCAGAUUAGGUAGUUGGUGGGAUAAAAGCUUACCAAGCCGACGAUCUGUAGCUGGUCUGAGAGGACGACCAGCCACACUGGGACUGAGACACGGCCCAGACUCCUACGGGAGGCAGCAGUGGGGAAUUUUGGACAAUGGGCGCAAGCCUGAUCCAGCCAUGCCGCGUGCAGGAUGAAGGCCUUCGGGUUGUAAACUGCUUUUGUACGGAACGAAACGGCUCUUUCUAAUAAAGAGGGCUAAUGACGGUACCGUAAGAAUAAGCACCGGCUAACUACGUGCCAGCAGCCGCGGUAAUACGUAGGGCGCGAGCGUUAAUCGGAAUUACUGGGCGUAAAGCGUGCGCAGGCGGUGAUGUAAGACAGAUGUGAAAUCCCCGGGCUCAACCUGGGAACUGCAUUUGUGACUGCAUCGCUGGAGUGCGGCAGAGGGGGAUGGAAUUCCGCGUGUAGCAGUGAAAUGCGUAGAUAUGCGGAGGAACACCGAUGGCGAAGGCAAUCCCCUGGGCCUGCACUGACGCUCAUGCACGAAAGCGUGGGGAGCAAACAGGAUUAGAUACUCUGGUAGUCCACGCCCUAAACGAUGUCAACUGGUUGUUGGGAAUUCACUUUCUCAGUA
rnacentral:rRNA from 1 species